rnacentral:rRNA from 1 species
GAUGAACGCUGGCGGCGUGCCUAAUACAUGCAAGUCGAGCGAACAGACGAGGAGCUUGCUCCUCUGACGUUAGCGGCGGACGGGUGAGUAACACGUGGAUAACCUACCUAUAAGACUGGGAUAACUUCGGGAAACCGGAGCUAAUACCGGAUAAUAUAUUGAACCGCAUGGUUCAAUAGUGAAAGACGGUUUUGCUGUCACUUAUAGAUGGAUCCGCGCCGCAUUAGCUAGUUGGUAAGGUAACGGCUUACCAAGGCGACGAUGCGUAGCCGACCUGAGAGGGUGACCGGCCACAGUGGGACUGAGAGAAGGCACAGACUCCUACGGGAAGCAGAAGUGGGGAAUAUUGCACAAUGGGCGGAAGCCUGAUGCAGCAACGCCGCGUGCGGGAUGACGGCCUUCGGGUUGUAAACCGCUUUCGCCUGUGACGAAGCGUGAGUGACGGUAAUGGGUAAAGAAGCAACGGCUAACUACGUG